rnacentral:tRNA from 1 species
AAAAAAUUAGUUAAACUAUAAUAUUGAUUUGUCAUGUCAAAGUUACUAUAAAAUAGUAUUUUUUA